AUAAAGGGCACUCGGCGUUACUGCCGUGCGCCACGCUUAGCGUGGUGUGCAGAAUCGACAUCAAGAGAUUCUGAGUGCAUAAUUUUUGAAAACGGGGCAGUUGGUUGCCGUUUGCACCGGCGCCCCC